GCCACGGUGGUCUGGCGGUUAGAACGCUGGCCUUGUAAUCCUGGGGUCUCGGGUUCGAUUCCCGGUGGUGCCC
rnacentral:tRNA from 1 species